ACCAUCCUUUUCUUGGCGUUGCGCUACUGUCCAAUGAGCAUGUAGUGAGGGCAAUACUGCUAAGGCCUGAACGACACACAGCCAUCAACCAGAGCUCUGCUUUACCUUGGUGAAAUUUUUGGAAAA
ensembl:snRNA RNA, U4atac small nuclear 18, pseudogene